rnacentral:tRNA from 1 species
CGCGGGGUGGAGCAGCCUGGUAGCUUGUCGGGCUCAUAACCCGAAGGUGGUCGGUUCAAAUCCGGCCCCCGCAACCA